CCGGCACGGGUGAGUAACGCGUAUGCAACUUGCCUAUCAGAGGGGGAUAACCCGGCGAAAGUCGGACUAAUACCGCAUGAAGCAGGGGCCCCGCAUGGGGAUAUUUGCUAAAGAUUCAUCGCUGAUAGAUAGGCAUGCGUUCCAUUAGGCAGUUGGCGGGGUAACGGCCCACCAAACCGACGAUGGAUAGGGGUUCUGAGAGGAAGGUCCCCCACAUUGGUACUGAGACACGGACCAA
rnacentral:rRNA from 1 species